AUUGAACGCUGGCGGCAUGCCUUACACAUGCAAGUCGAACGGCAGCACGGGAGCAAUCCUGGUGGCGAGUGGCGAACGGGUGAGUAAAGUAUCGGAACGUGCCCAGUCGUGGGGGAUAACGUAGCGAAAGUUACGCUAAUACCGCAUACGAUCUAUGGAUGAAAGCGGGGGGUCGCAAGACCUCGCGCGAUUGGAGCGGCCGAUAUCAGAUUAGGUAGUUGGUGGGGUAAAGGCUCACCAAGCCGACGAUCUGUAGCUGGUCUGAGAGGACGACCAGCCACACUGGGACUGAGACACGGCCCAGACUCCUACGGGAGGCAGCAGUGGGGAAUUUUGGACAAUGGGCGCAAGCCUGAUCCAGCCAUGCCGCGUACAGGAUGAAGGCCUUCGGGUUGUAAACUGCUUUUGUACGGAACGAAAAGGUUUGACUUAAUACGUUGGACUCAUGACGGUACCGUAAGAAUAAGCACCGGCUAGCUACGUGCCAGCCGCCGCCGUAAAAC
rnacentral:rRNA from 1 species